GACGAACGCUGGCGGCGUGCUUAACACAUGCAAGUCGAACGGAAAGGCCCUGCUUUUGUGGGGUGCUCGAGUGGCGAACGGGUGAGUAACCCGUGAGUAACCUGCCCUUGACUUUGGGAUAACUUCAGGAAACUGGGGCUAAUACCGGAUAGGAGCUCCUGCUGCAUGGUGGGGGUUGGAAAGUUUCGGCGGUUGGGGAUAGACUCGCGGCUUAUCAGCUUGUUGGUGGGGUAGUGGCUUACCAAGGCUUUGACGGGUAGCCGGCCUGAGAGGGUGACCGGCCACAUUGGGACUGAGGUACGGCCCAGAGUCCUACGGGAGGCAGCAGGCGGGAAUAUUGCACAAUGGGCGGAAGCCUGAUGCAGCAACGCCGCGUGCGGGAUGACGGCCUUCGGGUUGUAAACCGCUUUCGCCUGUGACGAAGCGUGAGUGACGGUAAUGUGUAAAGAAGCACCGGCUAACUACGUG
rnacentral:rRNA from 1 species